UACGUAGGGUGCGAGCGUUGUCCGGAAUUAUUGGGCGUAAAGGGCUCGUAGGCGGUUUGUCGCGUCGGGAGUGAAAACACCGGGCUUACUCGGUGCUUGCUUUCGAUACGGGCAGACUAGAGGUAUGCAGGGGAGAACGGAAUUCCUGGUGUAGCGGUGAAAUGCGCAGAUAUCAGGAGGAACACCGAUGGCGAAGGCAGCU
rnacentral:rRNA from 1 species